AAAUGCUUGUUGCUAGCUGGACAGGUGAUUUGAGUGUGGGUAUCUUUAGAGAGUGAUCAAAGAGGGUGACUAUAACUAUGAGCAACUGGCCUGUGUAGUGGGGUGCUCUGAGUAAGGAGUCUCCAGCAGCUUCUGUGCUGGGGGUCAGCUGAAACAUGCUGAACAAGAGCCAGAAGGAUAACAAGAGGGGGGAAAAAAAAAACAAACCAAACCUGCUAACAGAAACGCAAGCAGUGUACUGUCUAACUGGGACAUGUUAAGAUGUGUGGCCAAAUCUGGAGCUGUGUGGGUGGGUGCUUCAGGUCUUUCUAUGCUGAUUUCUAGCUCUGCAAGAGACCCAGCAGAGUCUGUUAUAAUUAAACAGUUUUGUGUGAUGCUACGA